CACGGGGCGCAGCAGGCGCGAAACCUCCGCAAUGCACGCAAGUGCGACGGGGGAACCCCAAGUGUCACUCGCCGCGGCCCGCGCCCGUCCCGCCGCCCCCGCCCCACCAGGACGCNNNAAGAGGUCG
rnacentral:rRNA from 1 species